UACUCUUAGCGGUGGACGACUUGGUUCAUGCGUUGAUGAAGAACACAGCUAACUGCGAGAAUUAAUGUGAAUUCCAGGACACCUUGAUCAUUGACACUUCGAAUACACUUGCAGCUCUGAGACU
rnacentral:rRNA from 1 species